AGCAGUGGGGAAUCUUAGACAAUGGGCGCAAGCCUGAUCCAGCCAUGCCGCGUGAGUGAUGAAGGCCUUAGGGUCGUAAAGCUCUUUCGCCAGGGAUGAUAAUGACAGUACCUGGUAAAGAAACCCCGGCUAACUCCGUGCCAGCAGCCGCGGUAAUACGGAGGGGGUUAGCGUUGUUCGGAAAUUACUGGGCGUAAAGCGUACGUAGGCGGAUUAGAAAGUUAGAGGUGAAAUCCCAGGGCUCAACCCUGGAACUGCCUUUAAAACUGGCAACCUAGAGUUCGAGAGAGGUGAGUGGAAUUCCGAGUGUAGAGGUGAAAUUCGUAGAUAUUCGGAGGAACACMAGUGGCGAAGGCGGCUMACUGGCUCGA
rnacentral:rRNA from 1 species